ensembl:lncRNA
UGUGCUUGAGAGGCCAGGAGAAGCAGGGAGGGAACAAGAGGACAGCACCUGCCUAGAAGAAAGCCACAGCUCCAGCAAUGGUGAUCUGUGAGUCCAGCUGCAGGAGGAAGUUAAGUGACUUGCCUGGAGACACACAGGACGGAGUCAAGAAGGUAGCCCUGCUUUGGAUCACAAAGCCCAGCACUUUGCGUGUGCAGAUGGUUGAAUAACUCAUGGUUGCCGGCACAGUCAUUCAUGAGAUCGGGAAGAAAAGCCCCUAUCAUGUGUAACACUGCACAUAGUAAAGAUGAUUGAUACACUGCAAACUCUUGUUACUGGCUUUAGGUAACAAUCAUAUUGGGAAAGAAUUAGGAAAAGCACAAAAUUCAGCCCAAUCUAAUCUGCGGAGUGAUGGGAAUUCAACAAAAAUACAACCUUCGUGGCUGAGUUAGAACACUGUAGACUGUUUUUUGAAGACUAUUGGGUACAGAUCAGCAAGCAUGUUAGAGACAAGAACCAUGGCAGAGACCAACUGUGGCUCUCUAUCCACUCAGCAGCCUUGAGACAGCAAGACCCGUGGCUCUUCAGGUCCCUCUGUGGAGGACUGAGAGAGCACCAAAUGCUUGCUGAAUGUGUGCCUGCAGAGUUGACCCCUCUACUUACAGGAGUG